UCAAGCAUUCUACUCUCUCUCUCUAAAACUCAGUUUCAAAUUUUAGCUUCUCUCUACCACAUCUCUGCCUUCUCUCUUCCAUUUCUUCUCUUUGAGGUAGUGGAUUUUCGAUCAGAUGGCGCUCAAACGUCCGCGACGUAGAGGGCUUCACAACUGUUCGAUUCGUUUUGGGUUCUAGGUACUAUUAGGUUCUUCACCAAGUAGGGUAUUGUGGGAGCAGUGUUGUGAGUUGAACUGUUCAACUCUGAGAGGUGGAUGAAGUACCCCUGGAGCAGGCCUUGGAUGGUGAUGAUAGUGCAGCUUAGUUUGUUUAGGAAUUUCUUAAUUAAGUAUUAUCAUUUUGAAAUACUCUGUUAAGUAGGAAGUUUUUAAAUUAUGACUUAUUUUGGAUGAUUGUAAGCUUAACAACUUAUUUGAAAGUCUACUCUAAUUGUUCUCUUAUAUUAAAAUGUGGAC